rnacentral:rRNA from 1 species
GGCGAUGGAUCAUUCAAGUUUCUGACCUAUCAGCUUUCGACGGUACUGUAUUGGACUACCGUGGCAGUGACGGGUAACGGGGAAUUAGGGUUCGAUUCCGGAGAGGGAGCCUGAGAAACGGCUACCACAUCUAAGGAAGGCAGCAGGCGCGCAAAUUACCCAAUCCUGACUCAGGGAGGUAGUGACAAGAAAUAACAACACUGGAAAUUAUAUUUCUAGUGAUUGGAAUGAUGGGAAUCCAAACCCCUUUCAGAGUAACAAUUGGAGGGCAAGUCUGGUGCCAGCAGCCGCGGUAAUUCCAGCUCCAAUAGCGUAUAUUAAAGUUGUUGCAGUUAAAAAGCUCGUAGUUGGAUAUCUGCUGGAAGCAGCCAGUCCGCCCUUUGCGGGUGUGCACUUGGUGAAUUCUGGCAUCCUCCUGAUUGGUGUCAUCAUCACUUCAUUGUGUUGGUGGCAGCUGUCAGGACCGUUACUUUGAGAAAAUUAGAGUGUUUCAAGCAGGCUUGUUGCCUUGAAUACUGCAGCAUGGAAUAACAAGAUAGGAUUUCGGUUCUAUUUUGUUGGUUUCUAGGACUGAAGUAAUGAUUAAUAGGGACAGUUGGGGGCAUUCGUAUUUAACUGUCAGAGGUGAAAUUCUUAGAUUUGUUAAAGACGAACUACUGCGAAAGCAUUUGCCAAAGAUGUUUUCAUUAAUCAAGAACGAAAGUUAGGGGCUCGAAGACGAUCAGAUACCGUCGUAGUCUUAACCAUAAACUAUGCCGACUAGAGA